rnacentral:rRNA from 1 species
GAUGAACGCUGGCGGCGUGCCUAAUACAUGCAAGUCGAGCGAACGGACGAGAAGCUUGCUUCUCUGAUGUUAGCGGCGGACGGGUGAGUAACACGUGGAUAACCUACCUAUAAGACUGGGAUAACUUCGGGAAACCGGAGCUAAUACCGGAUAAUAUUUUGAACCGCAUGGUUCAAAAGUGAAAGACGGUCUUGCUGUCACUUAUAGAUGGAUCCGCGCUGCAUUAGCUAGUUGGUAAGGUAACGGCUUACCAAGGCAACGAUGCAUAGCCGACCUGAGAGGGUGAUCGGCCACACUGGAACUGAGACACGGUCCAGACUCCUACGGGAGGCAGCAGUAGGGAAUCUUCCGCAAUGGGCGAAAGCCUGACGGAGCAACGCCGCGUGAGUGAUGAAGGUCUUCGGAUCGUAAAACUCUGUUAUUAGGGAAGAACAUAUGUGUAAGUAACUGUGCACAUCUUGACGGUACCUAAUCAGAAAGCCACGGCUAACUACGUGCCAGCAGCCGCGGUAAUACGUAGGUGGCAAGCGUUAUCCGGAAUUAUUGGGCGUAAAGCGCGCGUAGGCGGUUUUUUAAGUCUGAUGUGAAAGCCCACGGCUCAACCGUGGAGGGUCAUUGGAAACUGGAAAACUUGAGUGCAGAAGAGGAAAGUGGAAUUCCAUGUGUAGCGGUGAAAUGCGCAGAGACAUGGAGGAACACCAGUGGCGAAGGCGACUUUCUGGUCUGUAACUGACGCUGAUGUGCGAAAGCGUGGGGAUCAAACAGGAUUAGAUACCCUGGUAGUCCACGCCGUAAACGAUGAGUGCUAAGUGUUAGGGGGUUUCCGCCCCUUAGUGCUGCAGCUAACGCAUUAAGCACUCCGCCUGGGGAGUACGACCGCAAGGUUGAAACUCAAAGGAAUUGACGGGGACCCGCACAAGCGGUGGAGCAUGUGGUUUAAUUCGAAGCAACGCGAAGAACCUUACCAAAUCUUGACAUCCUUUGACAACUCUAGAGAUAGAGCCUUCCCCUUCGGGGGACAAAGUGACAGGUGGUGCAUGGUUGUCGUCAGCUCGUGUCGUGAGAUGUUGGGUUAAGUCCCGCAACGAGCGCAACCCUUAAGCUUAGUUGCCAUCAUUAAGUUGGGCACUCUAAGUUGACUGCCGGUGACAAACCGGAGGAAGGUGGGGAUGACGUCAAAUCAUCAUGCCCCUUAUGAUUUGGGCUACACACGUGCUACAAUGGACAAUACAAAGGGCAGCGAAACCGCGAGGUCAAGCAAAUCCCAUAAAGUUGUUCUCAGUUCGGAUUGUAGUCUGCAACUCGACUACAUGAAGCUGGAAUCGCUAGUAAUCGUAGAUCAGCAUGCUAUGGUGAAUACGUUCCCGGGUCU